GGCGCCUACCAAACUAGCGAGUGAUUUUUGCUUCUCUGAGACAUUUUUGGUUUUGAUCGUAAUUUUUUUUGUCUAUGCUCCAGAUUCUCGCCACCCUUGGAGAACUGUGCCUCCCUGCCUUGGUUCCUUUUCCAGUGUGCUCAGCUUCUUGCACAGCUCUCGCCAUUUUCCAACCUCGCAGAAGAACUAGAAGCAAGACUCUGUAUUUUGCACGUUCUUAGCUGUUGUCAAGAAAUUGGACAGCAACUUUUUACUUCCUCUCCCUGUCCGUGUUUUGCACUUAGGUCCUAGAAUUCCUUACGCUACAACAAAGACACUGUCUGAGAGGAAGCGAUCAGAGCUCACAGUCCCAACAGCACAUAGGAGCUGCUUGAAACGCCAGGAGCUGCUAGUUCUUACUCCGGUGUACAGACAAAGGGGUAAAAGACAGAGGGCUGUCUGUUUCCUGAUAUGUGAGGCAGCACAUGUCCAACAAGAGGUGGGUCCAACUGAAAUGACUCCUGAAAUAUCCAUCAGCAUAAAUUACAUCUUUGGUAGUGCUGAUUCCCUCUUUUGGGCUAAUGAAGUUAUAUGCCCCUGCACAACUACCAAGACGCCUGCUAAUGUCUUUUAAUUUGCAAAGAUAAUUGCAACACGGUUCCACUUAAAAAUCUAUACAUGCCAGGAAAUGGAGCUAAAACCGACCAAUCCACAUGGGUAAUUGUUUCUCCCUUAGAUUCUCUAAUGUAUAGCUGCAUAUCAAGGGUCUAAUGACACCAAUCAAAUGAUAUAUGCACUAAUGAAGCAGUCAGGGUUGACAUGGCAUGUGCAAAGGUUAUAAAAUAAGGAUUUGUGCAACUAUUUAUGAAUACUAAUCUGCUUAUCAUUGUUUCUAUCUAGCACCUUGUUUAGGAAAUGCCAACAUUUGCAUUUGGUGCCUAAAGGUGCUAGAAAACCAGGCUAGGCUAUGCCCCAACAUUUGCAAGAAGCCAAUGUAGCACAGACUGAGAACAGAACAUGUUGUGCGUGUUGUUAUCUUAAGGUUAGAGGCACACAGAUGCACGCAUGCUCACUCAUAUGCAUUCAGGGCGAGUAAGAGAAACAAUAGAGGAGCAGGCUGUAGGAGACUUGGUGGCAAGGAAAGUCUAGACAUAAUGAGUUUAAUAACGUACAAUGUUCAUUAAAACAUAGCUCACAGCCUCUCCGGAGGUGUCACUCCUGUCAGAUUAGUGGUGCUGAGAGAUGGCUGGUGCUGAGUGGAAGCAGCCCAUAUGGUCUGUCUGCUUGACAACACUGUGACCCACAACAGAUGUGCUGUUUUUCCUCUCCCCUGAUGUUAGGAUCAGCUUCUUUGUCACACCUGUGCUUUCUCCCAAGCCACACAAUAACAUCAACAAAUGAGACUGCUGGAUUUGCCCUCUGAGUCAACAAAGGAUUCUGGGCAGCCACAAAAUACAUUUUGACUUUAUUAGGAAGACUGGCUUCCUUUUGGGCAUUAUUAGAACAGUGGUAACCUAAAGACAAAGAUUAAUUAUUCCUGUGUGAUGUUUGCAUGCUAAUGUCCAGGAUGUGACUUUGGACUGUUUUUUAAAACCAGGAUGUGGAUGUCACUAUUUGUGGAUGUCACUAUCCCCAUCUCCUAGAAAUUAGAUCCAUAGAAUAACUAAUUUGUUAUGCUGAAUAAUUCACUGGUAAUUUAUUUUCUAGUCAAAAAGCAGUGUGUGUGUGUGUGUGGUGUGUGUGUGUGUGUGGUACGGUUGUCACAAAGAGAUAAUUGUGACUACCAUUGUGCCAGGCAGUGUAAAGUGUUUGUAAAAUGUUCCUGCUUAGUGUAUACAUUUCAAAACAAGUACUGGCAAAUUAUUAGUAUGAGUGUAAUUUAUAGGCGACAAGGUUACUAUUUAGACCUGUUCUCUGGUUGUCCAGAUAGUUGGCCUUCCAACGAAAAUGUUACUUUGUCACCAAGACAUUUUAUGGGUAGAUUUUGCUUUUUAACUAUGUGUGAGUGGCAAUUUAUAGGGUUAUCCAGCCACUUCUGCCAACACUAUAUGAAAUAUGCAUAAGCUGUCUGGAUAGCUGGACGGAAAGCAAUUUCUUCAGAACAUAUAAAGCGCCAAUGAUCAGUUGCAAUAUGGACACUCCCAUGACAAAUGCUAUUCUGCUUUCUAGCAGCCAUAAAGCUUGUAAAUUAGGUCAUGUACUACAUAUGAAUGCUACAUCUCAUUAUUAAACCUCCCAUCAGGCAAUGUCAUUUAUCCCCUCAUACAUAUGUGCAUCACAGGUAUUAAAGAAAAUUUGUCAAUGUGAAGCAUGACACACAGCAGUGAUACUAGAGCCGCCAAUAUUUGUCAGACGUGUAUAUACUGGAGGUCUGUACAUGUCUACUUUUUAUGCAUGUAACUGUCUAUCUUAAGUAGCAGCUGUCUGCUCUCGCUAAUCCUUCUGCUUGAUUUAAAUGUCAAUACCUCCUUCAUAUGUGCACAAGCAUAAAUCUGUAUGGGCAGAGUGGGUGGUAGUGACAUCACGGGGGGGGCAAGGGGUGAACGGAUCUCGACAGGCGCUCACUACAGCAAAGGAUGCUCCAGUAGACCAGUGGCAGUAACAGCAAGGUGCAAAGACGUUAAUGCAUGUCCCCUGGUGCCAUCUGGAAGAAGCAGGGUACCUAUGUAUUUAUCACCUGAAGGUUCAUUCACCAUCCUCAAUUACACACCCAUCUUUGGUGGUCUCUCACCGGAUGAAACCUUGAACGAGAUGCCCGUGAACUUGAUGUUGACUGCAUGAGAGGCCUGCUAGCAUGGUUUAUCAAUAAAUAGGGGAAACUAGAAACUAGGAUGAAUAAUGGAUGACCUAGGGUGAAAACACAUAGAUUAAUGUGAGGUGGAGGAGGGAGGGUGCCAGGGAGGAUGCAACUCUAUUGGGGUGUUGCCCUGUGAAGUGGCUAGAGGGCUGAGAUUCAUGAUGUCUUGUUAGAAGUGUGCAGACAAAUGAUUGUUUCCCUGUGCAUGUGGGACAUACUUUUUGGGCUAGCUCACAUUCAGCAGAGAAACAGGAAACAUGGGCGCUCUUCUGUCAUUUCCUCACUGCAGAGAUGUAAUUUCUGGGAUCACUUAAAUAUUUGAAGUCCAGAUGUGAUGAGAUCAGAACUCUGCUGCCCGGCUCCAAUCUUGAAUUUUUUGUGUCUUAGUGAAACAUAAUUGCAGGAUUAAGUAUGA